AAGCUAAAUGUCGAGAUGGUGUAACCAAAAGAUGGGAAUAGCCUGGAUGUCAGGUGUGCUUAGAAGGGAGAUGUCCAGAAGAGCCACAGUACCUGCAGCUAACUUCAUCUGCAGUUAUGGAUCUCUUCUUUGAUGACUUAUGGGGUUUUUACAUCCUGAGAGAUGAUCUUCACUGUAAUGUAAGGUAUGUUCGAAUCUUCCCCCACUUUCUCUGGCCUCACUCACCACUGGUGUCCUGAGGUUGAUAUGUAUCUUCCUGUGUAUCCACAUCCAAGGGACCUUCAGGACGAUGUUAAACAGAAGUGGUGAUAAUGGUCGUCCUUGUCUUUUUUCCUGAAUUAAAAAAAAUGCUUCUAAACAUUUCACUAUUGACUAUAAUGUUUGCUUCAGGUUUUUGAUAAAUACUCUUUUUCAGGGUAGGAAGUCUCCUUCUAUUUCUAGUUAGCUAAGCGUUUUGUGGUUUUUAAAAAAAAUCAUAAGUGGAUGUUGAAUUUUAUUGAGUGCUUUUCCUGUAUCCUCUGAGAUGAUCAUGUGGUUUUCCUUCUUUAAUUUAUUAAUGUGUUGAAAUGAAAUAAUAGAUUUUUUUCUUAUGGUAAUUCAUCACUGUAUUUGUGUGAUAAACCCAAUUGGUCAUAAUCUUUUUAGAAACUACAUUCCUGAGUUUGGAUUGCUAUUAUUUUGUGUAGGAGUUUUUACAUUUAUGUUCAUAACCAAGGUUGACCUAUAUUUUCCUUUCUUGUACAGUCAUUGUCUGGUUUUGGUAUCAAGGAUACACUAGCCUCCUAAAAUGAACUUUCCAUUUUUCAGUUCAUUUUCUGGAAAUGAACUCUCCUGCAAAAUAAUAUGAACCUCAUGUAGUCUUUGUGGUAGA